GUUAGCAAAAUUAUUUUUGCAUAUUCCUCCUCUGGAGAAGCUCCCCUAUCUGUACAUACCCCAUUUAUACCGAAAUUCGUUUUUUUUUACCCGACCACAAAAGUAAUCGGAAUCGUGCCUCUAUAGAGAUCUUCAUAGAUUCAUUCAGUAUAUUCAAAAUGGCAAACAAAAGUUCUUUUUAGUUUUGUGACCUGUUAUCUAUCAGGCAAUAUUUUGAGAUUAACGCUAGAGACUGUUUAGUAAAUAGCGACUAGUCAAGAACGAUAGAGAAAGAGAUUACGCAAUGCGCAUGUUUGCUUUCAGUCAGCUGUUCUUGCUGACGUCACGGUUGACUUAUUAUUCGCCCGCGCUUUUGAAAGUGAAUUCGAAUUGUGUUUUCAAGUGUUGUAUUAAAUUGAAAUUUUAUAUUUUUUAAAAUGCGUUGCGCAGUGUUCGGGUGCAAUAAUUAUAAUGGUAAAAAUUGUGCUACGAAAUGGAGAUUUUUGCAUUUCCCUAAAGAUAAAACAGUAGUAAAACAAUGGAUUCAUUUUUGUCGUCGUACGGACAAAAUUAAUGUUAAAAAUGCAUGCAUUUGUGAAGUGCACUUCGUGCCAGAAGCCAUCGAAAGAAACUUGCAGUUUGAAAUGGGUAAUUAUAGGAUUUUGAUUACAAUAAUUUUACUUUUAUAACCAAACACUCUUGCAGGUUUAAGUUCGCGGAAUCCAACUAAGUUGCUACCUAGCGCUUUUCCCACGUUAACCACUGCUCCUGCAGAGGCUAAUGAACGUCAGAAAAGGAUGGAGUCUCGUUCUAAAAAAGAGAUGUUAACAAAAAUGUUGAAGAAUACCGCCCCUGUUGAAGUAAUUCAAGAACACGAGGUUGGAGAGGCACCUUAAACUGCAGGAGAAGAGGUCAUCGAUGAGAAAGACGAGAAAAUACUGCAUUUGGAAACAGAAAUACAAAGGCUGAACAGUGUUGUUAGAACUUUGAAUAAGUGCAAAAAUGAGCAGUCAGCAGAAGUUAAACGCCUUAGGAUUUCCAUUAAAACCUCGGAAUUCCACAGAAAUAAUUUGGAGCAAAAACUUAGCUGCAUUUUUACCAACGGCCUGAUUGAAAAAUUAAGGGAUGGAAAUAAACGGCGGAAUUGGAAAGAAGAAGACAUAGCUAAGUCGACCACGCUAUAUUCAACGAGCCCGAAAGCGUAGAAACUUUUACGGAGAAACAACUUUCCUCUACCAGGUGUGCGCACUUUGCAAUGGUGGUCAAAGAAAAUUGACGUAGCUCCAGGUGUCAUAGAGCCGGUGAUGAAACUGUUGAAGGCAGCAACUGAGCUAACACAAGCGCAAAAAAUUUGUGUACUCAGUUUUGAUGAAAUGAAGAUCAGAAAGAGUUACUGUUACGAUAGAUCCACUGAUUCCACAUUGCCUCCUGUUAACUACGUUCAGGUGGCAAUGAUAAGAGGUUUGAUAAGUAAAUGGAAACACCCUGUAUUCUUCGUGUAUGAUUGCAAAAUGACGAAGGAAGUACUGUUUAGCAUUUUGUCAAGCCUUAAAAAGUGCGGUUACAAUAUUGUUGCCAUUGUAAGCGAUUUAGGUAGAUCAAAUAGAGCCCUGUCAACCAUGAGCGGGUAAAACACCAGAUAAUUAGCGGGUAACAUGGUGGUAAACGUGGUGGUAAACAUAUAGAGCCUGGCAGAUAUUUUACCCAGUCACGUACGUAUACAUGUGAUCAUACAUCUUUGUUGCGCUCAUUCAGCAGUGUCAUAUAAAAAAGUAUAUCUGUCCUGCUCUAAUAUCCCCAAUCGACGGCUGAUGCAGGGUUGCAUUUUCUCUUUUUAAAUAGCUGAUACAGGGUUGCAUUUUAAACAGCUGAUGCAGGGUUGCAUUUUUUGAUUCCUACU